UUUCAUACAUUAUAUUAAUUUACUUUUAUGUGGUGCUGAGGAUCGAACCAGUGCCUCACACAUGCUAGGCAAGCACUCUGCCACUGAGCUCUGGCCCCAGCCCAGUAGUGAACAGUAUUUUAUAGAAGUUCUGCACUCUGCCCGGAUGGCCACAUGGUUAAGCAGUUAGUGAGCAGGUCUGGUCCCCACUCAGGAGGAGAAACAUCAGGUUUUAGAUGGACAGGAAUGUCCCACGAUGUGUUAGUCACACACCAUCUUGCCUUCCCCAGGUAGAGCGGGAUUCCCUGAGGGCAGAGACUGGCUGUCUUGUUCACAGCUCCAUGUUCAGAACACAUAGUAGGUGCCAGGUAAUUACCGAGCGGUGAUGGAUGGAGAGGCUCCAGUGAGCUCUAGAGAAUUAAACACUGAAUCAGCAGGUAUGGGGGGGCAACUUCUGGUCCAUGGUAGGCACAACAGAGGUCCCCUCAGAUGCCACAGCUCCAAGGAACCGAUCACCCUUCUAGCUAAAAGGUUGAAGAGACCACGUCGGUACUCCUCUUCCUGAGUAACAGAAACUCCAAUUUUCUGCUGGAUACAUGACAACCUGAAAUAAAGACCACGUUUAUCAGCCUCUCUUGGGGGGCUCUGUGGCCAGGUGACUAAGUUCUAGAUGAUUGGAUGCAAGCUCUAGGAAGAACCUAUUAUCAUCUCCUCUUCCUUGGUUCUACUGGCUGGAUUGCAGAUUAAAUGGCUGGAGCUCCAGCAGCAAUUUUUGCUGUAAAACUUUGCCCUCUUCUCGCUGCUCCCCGACUCUAGCAUGGGCGGACUUUAGGCUGUGUGUAGAUACUGACCUCUCUGGUUUUGAAGGCUGCUCCCAUCUGGCCCGUGGCUGGGUCUGCCUUCCUCUGUCUUGGUCAGGCCACUCCCAUUUCAACUCUCUGUCCCAGGACGGAGUGUGGUCUCCGGCUCUUCUCCUCCUUCUGCCUCUUCUGUUCCUGCUGCGUGUGCUGUGACCCUGUCUGUGGUCUGUCUACCUCUCCCUCAUUCUGUUUCUGCUUUGUUCCUAUUUCUUUCUCUGUGUUCUCUUUUCUUGUGUCCCUGUCCCUGUGGCCCUAUGUCCCCGGUCCCUGUUCUCUGUCUCUGUUUCUCUCUCUCCCUUAGUUAUGGUGACCAUAUGUAGAAUAUAAAAAUACAGGAUGUUGGUUAAAUCCUAAUUUCAGACAAGCCACCAACACAUGUGUUAGUAUAACUGUGUCCCAUGCAGUACUGGGGACACAGUUGCACUAACAGCGUUUCGUCGUUUGCCUAAAAUCCAAAUAUAGCUGGAUGUGUCACAGCAUGUAUCUGGCAACCUCCUGCCCGUGCUCUGUGGGCAGCGGCUCCGCGGGGUCAUGAGUCUGAACACAGUGGCUGUCAUCAGAGGUGAGAGAGGAGGCCCCUGAGUCCUGCUGUUCCCAGAGCCUCCCCGACCCUGGUGCCCGCCUGUCCACUGCUACUGGGUCAGAAGUGCACGCCUCUCCUCAGUCCUCUGUCCCUGGCCGCUGACCCGAGUCUUAGGUGACGCAGUUGGCCACCAGCGGGGUCUGCUCUGACUCCUGCUUUCCCCUGGGUAAUGCCUCCGUGGGGCGACCAGAGCUGGUCAUCAGGGUCUGGUGGGGCUGUGGCCACCUUGCUGGCUGCCCGUCUGGUUUCUCCCGCUGCACAAGGGCCUCUUUAUCCUCGGGCUGUGCUGGAGGCCUGCCCUCCUCCUGGGCCCGUCUCCGCGGUCACUCAGGUGGCCCCACCCUGGACCUCAACGUGCAUUUUCCUUGGGCUCUGAAGGUGACGUUCAAGUGCAGCCCUGGCUUCCCCCUCAGCCGGGGCUGAAGCACCCCUUUCUGGGCCUCGAUUCAGGAAGAGCGUCGAAUGAGGACUUGUGAGGUUGUCACCAAGGGAGGAUCUACCAGUCCCUCUCCGUCUGUCUGCUGUCUCUACCCGUCCGUCUCUCUCGGUGGUAAUCUGCUCACCUCCAGAGGCACCGAGACGGGUUGCUGGGUUCAGUGUGAGUGGAGACAUCUCCAUUGGACCUGGCCCGCGUCUUUGGGCUCCGCAGGAAGAGGACCUUGAAGAAGCAUGGAGUGUGGUGGGGACAUGCUGGUGCCCCAGGACACAUGGCAGAGGCCUGGGGAUGGAGGCAGGGAGGGAAGCAGCCAGUAGCUGCACGAUGGCUGGCCAGUGACCUCCCAGGGUGACCAGGGUUCCUGGCGGUGGGGAACACGGGAGCCAGGGUAGACCUGCCUCAGAGCCGCUCCAGGAGAGGGAGCCAGAGCCGGCUUCGCUCCCUGCGCUCGGGGCUGCUUGUGGGUGUUACCCCUGACUCUGUCCUCUGCCCAGGCUGACAAGCCCCAGGGCCCAACACCGCAGGUGCCCACAGGAAGUGGCCUCCUCCAGCCAGGGGGUGAGGGCCGAGGGGGUGGCUGGGCACAGGGCAUCUGCUGCACAUGGUUGUACCCUUCUUGCUUUUCAAUAUGCCAGACUCCAUGCGAGGCCCUCGUAGGCGCAGACGUGCUCGGCGAGCCCAGGGAGGACAGAAGUGCCACUGUUGGCACCAGGGGACCGCUGAACCUGCAGGACAGGCGGCCAUGCAGGGUCUCUGCCCAGCCCCCCAGAGGUCCUCUGGGCCCUGCCAGAUGACAAGGCCCUGCCAGGCUCCUGUCCCCAUUAUUGCAUGGGACACAGUUAUACUAACACAACAUGUUUGUGGCUUAUCUCACUCCCCUGCUCUCGGCUGGUGCUUUCUGGAAGCACCUCUCAAAUAAAGCCCUUGUGCCCAAAUAUUUGUCUGAGGGUGUUGUUCUUAAGGAUUUCCACUGUGGCAGGAUAACAGACCCCGAAGAUGCCCGAGGCACAUGCUUCUUCGCCCUUUCCUCCUCUCCUGGCCAGAAUGUGGGGGCAAUGGCUGGAACUGGGAGCAACUCUUUUAGACCAUAAGGCAAAGCACUAAAUGGAACCAGAGAAUCAAGACUAAUCAGAAAACUGAGAAUGAGGCUCAGGAGAGAGGUGGCAACGAAGCAUUGGAGAGACUGGAUAUCACAGCGAAGCACAUUCUGGAAAGGCUGCGGCUGCUGUGUCGGCUGGCGCUGCAUCCCUUCUCGCCUUGUCUACUUGCUGGCGGUGCCACCCUGGGUACCGCACUUGGCCAUCUGAGCAGUGGGGCAGUGACAGAGCCGGCCUCAUGCUCUGUUAGUGAGGACAUGUGUUGAUGCAUAUAAAGCAUCUGGAAUAUUCCCUGCACACAGUAGGUGCUUUGUAUUUCCUUCUCUCCAUCACUAGAUGGUUCUCGAGCCCUAAAAGUCACUGCAGUUACCAAAACACUUUAUUGUCAUGAAGCUCAAUUUCCAGUGUGGGGAAGAGGACAAGAGAUGGUGACGUGAGGGGACAGGCAGAUGAGGAAGGGAACCGGAGGUUAAGGGAAUCAAUCUAUAAAGGGGGCCCCUGUGCUGACCCCCACAUCUUUCUUCUCCUAGAAGCAAUUUACCUGCACCCUGCCCGGCCUCAGUGGACAGGACCUGUCACAUUCCUCAGCCAACUACCUGUUCACUGCAGGGGAAAUGCAGGCCCAAGUCACCCUGAAGGUCACCAGAUCCUGAAACUCUGGGAGAUAAGGAUAGCUCCUCACAUCAGAAAAUCUGUAAGAAUGUGUGAUAAAGAAUCCGGUUAGAACCAGUCAGCUGGGGCCAAGGUGACCUAGACUUGUCACGGCAAUGGGGACUUGAAGUCUGAUGUCACCUUGCUGUCAGUCAAAAGUCAAAAAAUGGACUUGGUGGGGGUCUCUGGAAACUUCUCUGGGAUCCCCAAUAAAGCUGGAGUGCAGCAGAGGCAGGCUGACCCUCUCCUCUCGGAGCAGACCCCUCUCUCCCUUGAGAUGCCCUCUUUCCCUUUCCCCAGCCCUUCAAGAGACCCCUACUCUGAGCACGUGUCUGGAAGCUUUGUGACUUCAUUGCAGGAAUCGGGGUUUGCAGGGGGGUCUUCAACUGACUCCGGUUCCUGGAGACCCCCGCUCUGUAGCAGUCACAGCCUCAUUGUAUCCAACUUUGGGAUUUCAUCAGGAAUUAGUUGUGGUCAUUUAAAAAUAUGUCUACAGAUUCGUUGGUGCUUCUCCUGGGGCUGGGUGAGCUGGAGCCUGAAAAGCGUGAGGCGGAAGAGGGCUGCUGGGUGACUUCUGAGGCUGGUCUGCAGGAGCCGAUUCACUCUGCCUGAGCCAGGUCCGUGGCCGGAGUCCACCAUGCUGUGAGGAAGCCCAAGUCACCCACCCGGGGAGGCACACAGAGAAAGGAAGAAGCCUGCUGCCCCCAGGGCCCCAGGCCCCGCUGACUGCCACCAUGCGGAAGUCCCCAGCCAGAGGGCCAGCCACAGCCUCUCUGCAUUCCUGUCCCACAGAAACUAGCAGAAGAAAUGAUUUUUUUGUUGUUUUAAGCUCCGUAAUUUUGGGGUUUGUAUACAGUCAGAGAGUCCAGAACAGUCAUUUAACCAAAGCGAUUUGAAAACCGCAGAAGGGCUCACCGCUGGUGAGGUGCCUCUCAGAGAGCUCCUCAGAGCCCCAAGCCCUGGGGAAGCUUCCAGCAUUGCCCGGUGGGGGGGCGGCCUGGACCAGGACUGCUGCCAGGGCGGGAAGAGCAGGCAGGUUGGAGACAAGUGGGGACAUUUAAAUGAACAGUCGGGAACAGGAGGAUGCGAGGACAAGCCCGGGAGGGAGUUUAGGGUGACCCCAAGUUUCUUGCUUGGGAAACACGAUGGGUGGUAGGACGGUUCCCAAGACAGGGAAAAGCUGCUCCUGGGAGAAGAUGGUCCAAGAGUCCACCUGGCAAUGCACACUCCUCCUGAGCAGCCAGCCCCCCACCACGGCCAUCGGCCAUCAAGCAGGAAGGAAGAGGGCCCCCAACCCACUUCCUUAACCCUGAUGCUUUGUGUCUCGGCCACCAGAGGGCGCCAACGCCGGGCGGUUCUGUCCACUCCGGCUGCUCCUGCGUCACUCUGAGCUCCCCGAGGCCCCCACGAGGUCUGACCACUACCCCGGGCGCCAGAAAAGGGCUGCUGUUGGCUUAGUUGACCCCUCAGUGCUGACCAGAAAGUCUCCUCCCACAACUCCCCACCCGAGCCCCAGCACCCGCACUCCUGGGGAUGUCCUUUAUUCAGCUUGCACGGCCAGCCUUCGGUGACAAACCAGAAAAGUUCGCCUCUGAUACUCGGGCACUCUGCCUUGCUCUCCUCAGUGGCCGCAGUCACCUGCGCCCCUCUCUGUUGGUCCCUCUCCUGGCGGUACUUCAGCUGCCACUGGCCCUUGCCUGUCUCCUGGGGCUGUCCCCUCCCUGCCUAGGUCUUCCUUCACGGGACUCCAGGCCCGGAGCUGGCUUCCCCAGGCCUGUGCCUGAGGCUGACUUCCAAGCUGGAUCCUCCAAGGCCGAGAGUCCCAGAGCCCUAGGGCCCGGGAGCAGAAGGGACCAAGGCUCCAGGUUUCUGCGAAUGUCCCAUGGGGAAGAGAUUAUUUGGCGAUAGAAUCCGUCUGUUCCUAAAAGAACCAAGACUCUAGAAAUCGCAGAGCCCUCUGCCCUGGUGAAGAUGGUUCCCAGACUGUGGGCGCUCCACUUCCUCCCGCUCAGGGCUUUGCUACCCCCUGGUUUUCCCAGGGUCACAACGGCUCCUGUUGCUGGUCCCUCUGGCUCAACCCUUGAUUGAAGCGUUUUCCUGGUUUGGGUUUGUUUUGUUGUUUGUUGUUGUUCUUUUCAUAGCCUGAAGACUCCUUAGGGCAAGAACCACUUUUUAUCCAUCCCGAGUCCUAGAGCCAGGCCACCCACCCUCCCCAGCCUCCCCAGUACAACCAGCCACAGCGCAGCACGCACGUGCGCACACACAUGCACACACAUGCACACCCGCGCACACACACACGGCCUCACUCAACUGGAGGCUCACAAAAAGAGGUUGUGUUUGUUUAUUUUACCAAUUCAUGGCACUGUGGGAGAAAACAUAGCAAUAUAACCAAAUUUUCAUGAACAAGUGCUUGCUGUUUAUUCUAAAAAUCUCCUUUCUUGGGGAGUACAAAUUUUUUGUGUUAAGUAAUAGUGAAAAUAUUUAUUUAGUGUUAUUUUAGCUUAAGAUCUUUACUGGGCAAUGUGAAGAGUAGACCAUCUUGUGUUGGUCACCUGAUCAUUGGUUUUUAAGAAUUUUACUGGGUUCGAGAAACCCCGGAGACUGGGGGCCAUCGCCUCACCACACCUAGCACAGUCCCUAAAGUAGAGCCAGAAAACACCGAGCUGCCCAGUGACACAGUUUCACUUCUAGGUACACACCCAGGAGAAUUGAAAGCAAGAUACAAAAACCCCAUACAGGACCGUCCAGUGCAGCAUCAUUCACGAUCACGAAACAGUGUCGAUGAUCCAAAUGUGCAUCACAGGACGAACGGACAAGUGAUGAUAUCCCACGCAAUGGCAUGGUACUUGGCCUUGGAGAAGAAGGAUUUAGACCUCGGACUGUCCCACAGAAGACCCUCCAGUGCAGCCUACAUUCACAUGGAUUCCCACAGUGGGCCAACCUCCAAAAACAAGGCAGAUAUUGUUGGGCUGGUGGAGUAGAGGCCUGCAGGUGGUGGAAUCAUCCUUUCCCACUUCUUUGGAAGAGCCUAAGAAUGAAGCUCGUGCAGAACAAGGAACACCUGGAGAUAUGCACAUCCUGACAAAAGCACUGGAGUCCCUGGAUCAAACUGUGCCUGAAGCCAUCACAUUUUUAGACUUAAACCAAUAAAUUCCUUUUUGCUGCUUUAAA